UUUGUUGCAUGUUGAGGGAUAGUUNNNNNNNNNNAGACUCUUUAAUAGAUCGAUCAGAAAGAAUAACUUUGUGGUGGUUUCGUACCCGACAAUAAUCUCUUCGUUUGUUCUCCCCUAUUAGUGACUUUGGAGUGACUCUUUGUUGCAUGUUGAGGGAUAGUUAUAUGAUCUAAUUAUGUUAUCAUUGUUGAGAGAACUUCACUAGUGAAAGUAUGAACCCUAGGCCUUGUUUCCACGCAUUGCAAUACCGUUCGUGCUCGCUUUUACUAUUAGUUACCUUGCUGUUUUUGUAAUUUCAGAUUACAAAAACCUAUAUCUACCAUCCAUAUUGCACUUGUAUCACCGUCUCUUCACCGAACUAGUGCACCUAUACAAUUUACCAUUGUAUUGGAUGUGUUGGGGACACAAGAGACUCUUUGUUAUUUGGUUGCAGGGUUGCUNNNNNNNNNNNNNNNNNNNNNNNNNNNNNNNNNNNNNNNNNNNNNNNNNNNNNNNNNNNNNNNNNNNNNNNNNNNNNNNNNNNNNNNNNNNNNNNNNNNNCAGUCUCCCACUUGCACUAGAGUCAAUAAUCUAGUUACAUUGUGAUGUUUCGAACACCCAUAACAUUAUGGUGUUGAUCAUGUUUUGCUCGUGGAAGAGGUUUAGUCAACGGGUCUGCAACAUUCAGAUCCGUGUGUACUUUGAAAAUAUCUAUCACUCCACUCUGGACAUGGUCCUGGAUGGAGUUGUAGCGGCGUUCGAUGUGCUUCGUCUUCUGGUGAAACCUGGGCUCCUUGGCUAUGGCAAUGACCCCAGUGUUAUCACAGAAGAGUGUCAUUGGACCCGACGCGCUUGGAACCACUCCAAGGUCGGUGAUGAGCUCCUUCAUCCAAAUUCCUUCAUGAGCCACUUCUGAAGCAGCUAUGUACUCCGCUUCACAUGUAGAUGCUGCCACGACUUCUUGCUUGAUGUUGCACCAGCUCACUGCCCCACCAUUCAAAACAUAUACGUAUCCAGUCUCUGACUUAGAGUCAUCCGGAUCUGUGUCAAAGCUAGCGUCGACGUAACCCUUUACGACGAGCUCUUCGUCACCUCCAUAAACGAGAAACAUUUCCUUAGUCCUUUUCAGGUACUUAAGGAUAUUCUUGACCGCUGUCCAGUGUUCCAAACCGGGAUCACUUUGGUACCUCCCUACCAAACUUAUGGCAAGGUUUAUAUCAGGUCUGGUACACAGCAUGGCAUACAUAAGAGAGCCUACUGCUGAAGCGUAGGGGACAUAACUCAUCUUCUCUCUAUCUGCUGCCGUGGUUGGCGACUCAGUCUUACUCAAUAUCAUACCUUGCAAAACUGGAAAGAACCCUUUCUUUGAGUUUUCCAUAUUGAACUUCUUCAAUAUCUUGUCAAGGUAUNNNNNNNNNNGUCUCGAUCUAUCUCUAUAGAUCUUGAUGCCUAAUAUAUAUGCAGCUUCUCCAAGGUCCUUCAUUGAAAAACUCUUGUUCAAAUAGGCCUUUAUGCUCUCCAACAUCUCUAUAUUAUUCCCCAUCAAUAAUAUGUCAUCCACAUACAGUAUGAGGAAAGCUAAAGAGCUCCCACUCACUUUCUUGUAUAGACAAGCUUCUCCAUAAACCUGUAUGAACCCAAACGCUUUAAUCACCUCAUUAAAGUGAAUGUUCCAACUCCGAGAUGCUUGCACCAGCCCAUAGAUGGAGCGCUGGAGCUUGCACACUUUGUUAGCACCCUUAGGGUCGACAAAACCUUCUGGAACUCCUUGAAUUUGUUUUGGAACUCUUCCUUAAGUUCCCGUUAAGGAACGCUGUUUUGACGUCCAUUUGCCAAAUUUCAUAAUCAUAAAAGGUGGCAAUUUCUAACAUGAUUCGGACUGAUUUCAGCUUCGCUACGGGAGAGAAAGUCUCUUCGUAGUCAACUCCUUGAAUUUGUCGAAAACCCUUUGAGACAAGUCGAGCUUUAUAAACGGUUACAUUACCGUUUGCAUCAGUCUUCUUCUUGAACAUCCAUUUAUUUUCUAUGGCUCGCCGGUCAUCGGGCAAGUCCACCAAAGUCCAUACUUUGUUCUCAUACAUGGAUCCUAUCUCGGAUUUCAUAGCUUCAAGCCAUUUGUUGGAAUCCGGGCCCGCUAUCGCUUCUUCAUAGUUCGAAGGUUCACCGUUGUCUAACAACAUGAUUUCCAUCACAGGGUUGUUGUACCACUCUGGUGCGGAGCGUGCCCUCGUGGACCUUCGCAGUUCAGUAGUAACUUGAUCCGAAGCUUCAUGAUCAUUAUCAUUAACUUCCUCUUCAGUUGGUGUAGGCGCCACAGGAACAACUUCCUUCGCUGCGCUACUAUCCUGUUCAAGAGGGGGUGUAAUUACCUCAUCAAGUUCUACCUUCCUCCCACUUACUUCUUUCGAGAGAAACUCUUUCUCUAGAAAGGAUCCGUUCUUGGCAACAAANNNNNNNNNNNNNNNNNNNNNNNNNNNNNNNNNNNNNNNNNNNNNNNNNNNNNNNNNNNNNNNNNNNNNNNNNNNNNNNNNNNNNNNNNNNNNNNNNNNNUGAAGAUCAUGGAGAACUUUGUAUUGAAGAUCCAAGAGAGAGAAGAAGAAGCCAUCUAGCUACUAACUACGGACCCAUAGGUCUAAAGUGAACUACUCACGAGUCAUUGGAGGGGCGAUGAUGAUGAUGAAGAAGCCCUCCAACUCCAAAGUCCCAUCCGACAGGGUGCCGAGAAGUUUCUCCAGAUGAGAUCUCGCGGAAACGGAAGCUUGCGGCGGCGGAAAAGUAUUUUCGAGGCUCCCCUGAUUUUUUGCUGUAUUUAGGGUAUAUAUAGGCCAAAGAUCUAGGUCAGGGGGCGGCCAGGGAGGCUACAAGCCCUGCCACCGCCGCCUCCCCCCUAGUGGUGGAGUGGGGGCUUGUGGGCUCCCUGGAGCCCUCCUGGCUUGGCCCACAGGCCCCCUGAUUUUCUUCCGUUCGGGAAAAAAUCAUUUUGGGGAUUUUAUUCCGUUUGGACUCCGUUCCAAAAUCAGAUCUGAAAAGAGCCAAAAACACAGAAAAAACACGAACUGGCACUUGGCACUAAAUUAAUAAGUUAGUCCCAAAAAAGAUAUAAAAGGUACAUAAAACAUCCAAAGAUGACAAGAUAACAACAUGAAACCAUCAAAAAUUAUAGAUACGUUUGAGACAUAUCAGGGGGCGGCGGCGAGGGCAGGAGAGGGGGUGGCGCACCCCCUGGUGGGCCUUAGGCCCACCAGCGCCUAGGGCCCCCCUUCCUCUCUGGUACGCCAUGGGCUGGGUGUGGAGGGCGCACCAGCCCACCCAGGGGAUGGUUCCCUCCCACACUUGGCCCAUAUAGCCUUCCGGGGCUUGUGGCCCCUCUCGGUGGGCCUCCGGAACCCUUCCGGUGGUCCCGACACUUUGUCGGUGGUGCCCGAAACAUUUCUGGCGUCCAAACCCAUCCAUCCUAUGUAUCAAUCGUUACCUCAGGACCAUUCUGGAGCUCCUCGUGACGUCCGGGAUCUCAUCCAGGACUCCGAACAACCUUUGGUAACCUCGUAUAACAAUUCCCUAUAACCCAAGCAUCAUCGAACCUUAAGUGUGUAGACCCUACAGGUUCGGGAGGCAUGCACACAUGACCGAGACACUCUCCGGCCAAUAACNNNNNNNNNNUCGAGGGAGAGGGAAAAGUGUGUCCCCCAAAUGCCAAAACCCCUCUCUAUUUAUAGGAGGAGGGGGAGGGCUGCGCCACCCCUAGGGUUCCCUCCCUAGGGGCCGGUGGCCACCAGAUGGGAGAGGGGGGGGGCAGGGUGGGAGAGGUGUGGCGCACCACCUGGUGGGCCUAAGGCCCACCUGCGCCUAGGGUUGCCCCCUCUCCCCACCACCUGCGCCUUGGGCUAGGUGUGGGAGGCGCACCAGCCCACCUAGGGGCUGGUUCCCUCCCGCACUUGGCCUAUCUAGCCUCUCGGGGCUGGUGGCCCCUCCCGGUGGACCCCGGGGCCACUUCCGAUGGUCCCGGUGGUCCCAGUACGUUACCGGUGACGCCCGAAACACUUCCGGUGUCCAAAACCAUCCAUCCUAUAUAUCAAUCUUUACCUCCGGGCCAUUCCGGAGCUCCUCAUGACAUCCCGGAUCUCAUCCGGGACUCCGAACAACUUUCGGUAACCUCGUAUAACAAUUCCCUAUAACCCUAGCGUCAUCGAACCUUAAGUGUGUAGACCCUACGGGUUCGGGAGACAGACAGACAGACAUGACCGAGACACCUCUCCGGCCAAUAACCAUCAGCGGGGUCUGGAUACCCAUGAUGGCUCUCACUUGCUCCACGAUGAUCUCAUCAGAUGAACCACGAUGUCAAGGAUUCAAUCAAUCCCGUAUACAAUUCCCUNNNNNNNNNNUUGGAUACUCAUGGUGGCUCCCACAUGUUCCACGAUGACCUCAUCGGAUGAACCACGAUGUCAAGGAUUCAAUCAAUCCCGUAUACAAUUCCCUUUGUCUGUCGGUAUAGAACUUGCCCGAGAUUCGAUCGUCGGUAUACCCAUACCUUGUUCAAUCUCGUUACCUGUAAGUCUCUUUACUCGUUCCGUAGCACAUCAUCCCGUGACUAACUCGUUAGUCACACUGAGCUCAUUAUGAUGAUGUUCUACCGAGUGGGCCCAGAGAUACCUCUCCGUCACACGAAGUGACAAAUCCCGAUCUCGAUUCGUGCCAACCCAACAGACACUUUCGGAGGUACCCGUAGUGCACCUUUAUAAUCACCCAAUUAUGUUGUGACGUUUGAUACACCCAAAGCACUCCUACGGUAUCCGGGAGUAGCACAAUCUCACGGUCGAAGGAAAAUACACUUGACAUUAGAAAAGCUUUAGCAUACGAACAAGACAAUCUAGUGCUAUACUUAGGAUUGGGUCUUGUCCAUCACAUCAUUCUCCCAAUGAUGUGAACACGUUAUCAAUGACAUCUAAUGUCCAUGAUUAGGAAACCAUGAUCAUCUAUUGAUCAACGAGCUAGCUAACUAGAGGCUUGCUAGGGACACAUUGUGAUCUAUUUAUUCACACAUAUAUUACUGUUUCCUGUUAAUACAAUUAUAGCAUGAACAACACACGAUUAUCAUGAACAAGGAAAUAUGAUAAUAACCAUUUUAUUAUUGCAUCUAGGGCAUAUUUCCAACAGUCUCCCACUUGCACUAGAGUCAAUAAUCUAGUUACAUUGUGAUGUAUCGAACACCCAUAGCAUUGUGGUGUUGAUCAUGUUUUUCUCGAGGAAGAGCUUUAGUCAACGGGUCUCCAAUAUUCAGAUCCGUGUGCACUUUACAAAUAUCUAUUACUCCUCUCUAGACCUCGUCCUGGAUGAAGUUUUAGCAGCGUUGGAUGUGCUUGGUCUUCCGGUGAAAUCUGGGAUCCUUGGCUAUGGCGAUGGCUCCAGUGUUAUCACAGAAGAGUGUCAUCGGACCCGACGCGCUUGGAACCACUCCAAGGUUGGUGAUGAGCUCCUUCAUCCAAAUCCCUUCAUGAGCUGCUUCUGAAGCAACUAUGUACCCCGCUUCACAUGUAGAUGCUGCCACGACGUCUUGCUUGCUACUGCACCAGCUCACUGCCCCUCCAUUCAAAACAUACACGUAUCCGGUCUGUGACUUAGAGUCAUCCGGAUCUGUGUCAAAGCUAGCAUCAGUGUAACCCUUUACAACGAGCUCUUCGUCACCUCCAUAAAUGAGAAACAUCUCCUUAGUCCAUUUCAGGUACUUAAGGAUAUUCUUGACCGCUGUUCAGUGUUCCAUACCGGCAUCACUUUCGUACCUCCCUACUAAACUUAUGGCAAGGUUUAUAUCAGGUCUGGUACACAACAUGGCAUACAUUAGAGAGCCUACGGCUAAAGCAUAGGGGACAAUACUCAUCUUCUCUCUAUCUGCUGCCGUGGUCGAUGACUGAGUCUUACUCAAUCUCAUACCUUGCAAAACUGGCAAGAACCGCUUCUUUGAGUUUUCCAUAUUGAACUUCUUCAAUAUCUUGUCAAGGUAUGUACUUUGCGAAAGACCUAUGAGGCAUCUCAAUCUAUCUCUAUAGAUCUUGAUGCCUAAUAUGCAUGCAGCUUCUCCAAGGCCCUUCAUCGAAAAACUCUUGUUCAAGUAGGCCUUUAUGCUCUCCAAUAACUCUAUAUUAUUCCACAUCAAUAAUAUGUCAUCGACAUAUAGUGUGAGGAAAUCUACAGAGCUCCCACUCACUUUCUUGUACAGACAGGCUUCUCCAUAAACUUGUAUGAACCCAAACGCUUUAAUCACCUCAUUAAAGCGAAUGUUCCAACUCUGAGAUGCUUGCACCAUCCCAUAGAUGGAGCGCUGGAGCUUGCAUACCUUUUUAGCACUCUUAGGAUCGACAAAACCUUCUGGUUGGAUCAUAUUCAACUCUUCCUUAAGAUACCCGUUAAGGAAUGCUGUUUUGACGUCCAUUUGCCAAGUUUCAUAAUCAUGAAAAGCGGCAAUUGCUAACAUGAUUCAGACUGACUUCAGCUUCGCUACGGGAGAGAAAGUCUCAUCGUAGUCUACUCCUUGAAUUUGUCGAAAACUCUUUGCGACAAGUCGAGCUUUGUAAACGGUCACAUUACCGUUUGUGUCAGUCUUGUUCUCUAAGAUCCAUUUAUUUUCUAUGGCUCGCCGGUCAUCGGGAAAGUCCACCAAAGCCCAUACUUUGUUCUCAUACAUGGAUCCUAUCUUGGAUUUCAUAGCCUCAAGCCAUUUGUUGGAAUCCGGGCCCGCCAUUGCUUCUUCAUAGUUCGAAGGUUCACCGUUGUCUAACAACAUGAUUUCCAUCAAAGGGUUGCCGUACCACUCUGGUGCGGAUCGUACCCUUGUGGACCUUCGUGGUUCAGUAGCAACUUGAUCCAAAGCUUCAUGAUCAUCAUCAUUAACUUCCUCUCCAGUUGGCGUAGGCGUCACAGGAACAAUUUCCCGCGUUGCGCUACUCUCCGGUUCGAGAGGGGGUGUAAGUACCUCAUCAAGUUCUACUUUCCUCCCACUUACUUAUUUCGAGAGAAACUCUUUCUCUAGAAAGGAUCCGUUCUUGGCAACAAAGGUUUUACCUUCGGAUCUAAGAUAGAAGGUAUACCCAAUAGUUUCCUUAGGGUAUCCUAUGAAUACACAUUUCUCCGCUUUGGGUUCGAGCUUUUCUGGUUGAAGUUUCUUCACAUAAGCAUCGCAGCCCCAAACUUUAAGAAACGACAACUUAGGCUUUCUUGCCAAACCAUAGUUCAUACGGUGUCGUCUCAACGGAUUUAGAGGUGCCCUAUUUAAAGUGAAUGCUGCAGUUUCUAAUGCGUAUCCCCAAAAUGAUAGCGGUAAGUCGGUAAGAGACAUCAUAGAUCGUACCAUAUCUAAUAAAGUGCGAUUACGACGUUCAGACACUCCGUUGCGUUGCGGUGUGCCAGUCGGCGUCAGUUGUGAAACGAUUCCACACUUCCUUAGGUGUGUGCCAAACUCGUGACUCAAAUAUUCUCCUCCAUGAUUAGAUCGUAGACACUUUAUUUUUUUAUCACGUUGAUUCUCAACCUCACUNNNNNNNNNNAAUUUUUCUGUAACAUUGAUUCUCGACCUCACUCUGAAAUUCCUUGAACUUUUCAAAUGUCUCAGAUUUGUGCUUCAUCAAGUAGAUAUACCCAUACCUACUCAAAUCAUCGGUGAGAGUGAGAACACAACGAUAGCCACUGCGAGCUUCAACGUUCAUUGGACCACACACAUCAGUAUGUAUUAUUUCCAAUAAGUCGGUUGCUCUCUCCAUUAUUCCUGAGAAUGGAGUCUUAGUCAUCUUGCCCAUGAGGCACGGUUCGCAUGUGUCAAAUGAUUCGGAGUCAAGAGACUCUAAUAGUCCAUCAGUAUGGAGCUUCUUCAUGCGCUUAACGCCGAUAUGACCAAGGCGGCAGUGCCACAAGUAUGUGGGACUAUCAUUAUCAACUUUACAUAUUUUGGUACUCACACUAUGAAUAUGCGUAACAUCACGAUCGAGAUUCAUCAAGAAUAAACCAUUCACCAGCGGAGCAUGACCAUAAAACAUAUCACUCAUAUAAAUAGAACAACCAUUAUUCUCUGACUUAAAUGAGUAGCAGUCUCGCAUUAAGCAAGACCCUGAUACAAUAUUCAUGCUCAAAGCUGGUACUAAAUAACGAUUAUUAAGGUUUAAAACUAAUCCCGACGGUAGAUGUAGGGGCAGCAUGCCGACGGCGAUCACAUCGACCUUGGAGCCAUUCCUGACGCGCAUCGUCACCUCGUCCUUGGCCAGUCUCCGCUAAUUCCGCAGUUCCUGUUUUCAGUUGCAAAUGUGAGCAACAUCACCGGUAUCAAAUACCCAGGAGCUACUACGAGCGCUGGUAAGGUACACAUCAAUAACAUGUAUAUCAUAUAUACCUUUAAUGUUGCCGGCCUUCUUGUCCGCUAAGUACUUGGGGCAAUUCCGCUUCUAGUGAUCUUUUCCCUUGCAAUAGAAGCACUCAGUCUCAGGCUUGGGUCCAUUCUUUUUCUUCUUCCCGAUAUCUGGCUUACUGGGCGCGGCAACGACUUUUCCAUCUUUCGUGAAGUUCUUCUUACCCUUUCCCUUCUUGAAACUGGUGGUCUUAUUGACCAUCAACACUUGAUGCUCUUUCUUGAUUUCUACUUCUGCAAACUUCAGCAACAAGGACAACUCGGGAAUGGUCUUCUCCAUCCCUUGCAUGUUGUAGUUCAGCACAAAACCUUUUUAGCUUGGUGGGAGAGACUGGAGGAUUCUGUCAAUUACAGCGUCAUCCGGAAGUUCAACUCCAAGCGAAGUCACAUGACCGUGUGACCCAGACAUUCUGAGUAUAUGCUCACUAACACAACUGUUCUCCUCCAUCUUACAGCCAAAGAACUUGUCGGAGACAUCAUAUCUCUAGACACGAGCAUGAGCUUGAAAAACUAGUUUUAGCUCCUCGAACAUCUCUUAUGCUCCGUGUUGCUCAAAACGCCAUUGGAGCCCCGUUUCCAAACUGUAUAACUUGCCACACCUAACCAUAGAGUAGUCAUCACUCUGCGUCUGCCAGACGUUCUGAAUUUCCUGGGCCGCUACGAGAGCAGGAGGGUCACCUAGCGGCGCAUUAAGGACAUAAGCCUUUUUAGCUGCUUCGAGGAUGAGCUUCAAGUUGCGGACCCAGUCCGAAUAGUUGCUACCAUCAUCUUUCAGCUUGUUUUUCUCUAGGAAUGCGUUGAAAUUGAGGUUGACAGGUGCGUUGGCCAUUGGAUCUACAAUAUUUGUAAAGACAACUUUUAUACUAAGUUCAUGAAAAUUAAGUUCAUUUAAUCAAAUUAAGUAUGAACUCCCACUUAAAUCGACAUUCCUCUAGUCAUCUAAGUGAUACAUGAUCCAUGUCGACUAACCCGUGUCCGAUCAUCACGUGAGACGGACUAGUCGUCAUGGUGAGCAACUUCAUGCUGAUCUUAUUCAACCAUACGACUCAUGUUCGAACUUUUGGUCUCUUGUAUUCGAGGUCAUGUCUGUACAUGCUAAGCUCGUCGAGUCAACCUAAGUGUUUCGCGUGUGUAAAUCUGGAUUACACUCGUUGUAUGCAAACGUUAGAAUCUAUCACACCCGAUCAUCACGUGGUGCUUCGAGACAACGAUCCUUCGCAACGGUGCACACUUAGGGGAAUACGUUCUCGAAAUUUUAUGAGGGAUCAUCUUAUUAUGAUAACGUCGUUCUAAGAAAUAAGAUGAAAACCAUGAUAAACAUCACAUGGAAUCAUAUUGUGACAUGAUAUGGCCACUAUCAUCUUUACUCUUUCGAUACCCAUCUUCGGGCAUCACAUGAUCAUCAUUGUCACCGGUGUGACACCAUGAUCUCCAUCAUCAUGAUAUCCAUCAUCGUGUCUCCUGAAGUCGUCACGCCAACUACUACUACUACUACUAUAGCUAACCGUCAGCAAUGAAGUAAAAGUAGUAAACACAUGGCGUUGCAUCUCAUACAAUAAAUUAAGACAACUCCUAUGGCUCCUCCCAGUAGUUAUACUCAACGACAUGCAAGUCGUGAAUCCUAUUACAAUAACUUGAUCAUGUCAUACAUCACACAUGUAACAUCACAACUUUGGCCAUAUCACAUCACAUGUCAAGCCCUGCAAAAAGAAGAUAGACGUCCUCUAAUUAUUGUUGCAAGUUUUACGUGGUAGCCACAACGAUGAUAUGCCAAAGCUAUUUACCCUUCAUAAGGACCCUUUCCAUCAAAUCCAAUCCGACUAGAGUGGGAGAGACAGACACCCGCUAGCCACCUUUAUGCACGGUGUCCAUGUCGGCCGGUGGAACUUGUCUCACGUAAGCAUACGUGUAAGGUUGGUCCGGGCUGCUUCAUCCCACAAUACCGUCGGAAAAGAAUAAGACUAGUAGCGGCAAGAAAUUGACAAAUCAGCGCCCACAACCUUUUGUGUUCUACUCGUGCAUGGAAUCUACGCAUAGAAAACCUGGCUCGGAUGCCACUGUUGGGUAACGUAGCAUAAAUUCAAAAUUUUCCUACGCCAUAUUCAUAUAUUCCUAUGGAGAGACCAGCAACGAGAGAGGGGUGAGUGCAUCUUCAUACCUUUGAAGAUUGCUAAGAGGAAGCGUUGCUAGAACGCGGUUGAUGGAGUCGUACUCGCGACGAUUCAGAUCGCGGUGUGAUUCCGAUCUAGUGCCGAACCACGACACCUCCACGUUCAACACACGUGCAACCCGGUGACGUCUCCCGCACCUUGAUACAACAAGGAGGAGGGAGAGUUUGGGGAAGAUCUCCGGCAGCACGACGGCGUGGUGUCGAUGGAGAGAUGAGGUCUCCCGGAAGGGCUUCGCGAAGUACCGUGGGAGAGGUUAACUUGUGUCUCCAACAACCCAAACCCCUCUCUAUUUACAGGAGGAGAGGGGAGGGGUGCGCCACCUCUAGGGUUCCCACCCUAGGGGUGGCGACAACCCAGAUGGGAGAGGGGGGCGGCAGCGAGGGGAGGAGAGGGGGUGGCGCACCCCCUGGUGGGCCUUAGGCCCACCAGCACCUAGAUUUCCCCCUCCUCUCUGGUGCGCCAUGGGCUGGGUGUGGAGGGCACACCAACUCACCCAGGGGCUUGUUCCCUCCCACACUUGGCCCAUAUAGCCUUCCGUGGCUUGUGGCCCCUCCCGGUGGGCCUCCGGAACCCUUCCGGUGGUCCCGACACUUUGCCGGUGGUGCCCGAAACAUUUCCGGCGUCCAAACCCAUCCAUCCUAUGUAUCAAUCUUUAACUCCGGACCAUUCCAGAGCUCCUCGUGACAUCCGGGAUCUCAUCCGAGACUCCGAACAACCUUCGGUUACCUCGUAUAACAAUUCCCUAUAACCCUAGCGUCAUCGAACCUUAAGUGUGUAGACCCUAUGGGUUCGGGAGGCAUGCAGACAUGACCGAGAAACUCUCCAGCCAAUAACCACCAGCGGGAUUUGCAUACCCAUGGUGGAUCCCACAUGUUCCACGACGAUCUCAUUGUAUGAACCAUGAUGUCAAGGAUUCAAUCAAUCCCGUAUACAAUUCCCUUUGUCUGUCGGUAUAGAACUUGCCCGAGAUCCGAUCGUCGGUAUACCCAUACCUUGUUCAAUCUCGUUACUGGCAAGUCUCUUUACUCAUUCCGUAGCACAUCAUCCCGUGACUAACUCCUUAGUCACACUGAGCUCAUUAUGAUGAUGUUCUACUGAGUGGGCCCAGAGAUACCUCUCCGUCACACGGAGUGACAAAUCCUGAUCUCGAUGUGUACCAACCCAACAGACAGUUUCAGAGGUACCCGUAGUGCACCUUUAUAAUCACCCAGUUAUGUUGUGACGUUUGAUACACCCAAAGCACUCCUACGCUAUCCGGGAGUUGCACAAUCUCACGGUCGAAGGAAAAGACACUUGAUAUUAGAAAAGCUUUAGCAUACGAACAACACGAUCUAGUGCUAUGCUUAGGAUUGGGUCUUGUCCAUCACAUCAUUCUCCCAAUGAUGUGAUCCCGUUACCAAUGACAUCUAAUGUCCAUGAUCACGAAACCAUGAUCAUCUAUUUAUCAACGAGCUAGCUAACUAGAGGCUUGCUAGGGACGCAUUGUGAUCUACACAUGUAUUACUGUUUCGUGUUAAUACAAUUAUAGCAUGAACAACAACCGAUUAUCAUGAACAAGGAAAUAUGAUAAUAACCAUUUUAUUAUUGCCUCUAGGGAAUGUUUCCAACAUCUAGUGCCUUGGGCUCACUCCUGGGUGGGUGGCCCCUCCCGGUGAACUCCCGGAACCCAUUGGUCACUCCCGGUACACUGCCGAAAUUGCCCGAAACUUUCCAAUGACCAAAUGAAACCAUCCUAUAUAUCAAUCUUUGUUUCCAGACCAUUACAAAAACCCUCGUGACAUCCGUGAUCUCAUCCGGGACUCCGAAAAAAAUUAAGUGUGCAGACCCGGCGGGUUCGAGAACUAUGUAGACAUGACCCGAGGCACUCCUCGUUCAAUAUAGAAUAGCGGGACCUAGAUGCUCAUAUUGGAUCCUACAUAUUCUCCGAAAAUCUUAUCGGCUGAACCUUAGUGUCAAGGAUUCAUAUAAUCCCGUAUGUCAUUCCCUUUGUCCUUUGGUAUGUUACUUUCCCGAGAUUUGAUCGUCGGUAUCCGCAUACCUAUUUUAAUCUCGUUACCGGCAAGUCUCUUUACUCGUUCUGUAAUACAAGACCCUGUGACUUACACUUAGUCACAUUGCUUGCAAGGCUUGUGCGUGAUGUUGUAUUACCGAGUGGGCCCCGAGAUACCUCUCCGUCACACGGAGUGACAAAUCCUAGUCUUGAUCCAUACUAACUCAACGGACACCUUAGGAGAUACCUGUAGAGCACCUUUAUAGUCACCCGAUUACGUUGCGACGUUUGAUGCACACAAGGUAUUCCUCCCGUGCCCGUGAGUUAUAUGAUCUCAUGGUCAUAGAAACAAAUACAUGACACGCAGGAAACAAUAGCAAUAAAAUGACACAAUCAAUAUGCUACGUUCAUUGUUUGGGUCUUGUCCAUCAUAUGGUUCUCCUAAUGAUGUCAUAGAAAUAUGCUCUAGAUUAUCUUAAUUAUCUAUUUAUUUAAUUAAUAUUUAUUUAUUUAUUUUUAUGCCUUUUUAUUUUUUCUACAUACAUGCAUGCAUACUCAAUAAAUACAUACAUACAUGUACAUCUAUACAUACAUAAAUACAUACAUACAUGUACAUCUAUACAUACAUACAUACAUAUAUCACCAUUUUUAUUCUCUUUACAUCACAACCGUCUCUGUUAACUUGUCGGAAAUAUGCUCUAGAGGCAAUAAUAAAUUAGUUAUUAUUAUAUUUAAUUGUUCAUAAUAAUCGAUUAUUAUCCAUGCUAGAAUUGUAUUGAUUGGAAACUCACAUACAUGUGUGGAUACAUAGACAACACACUGUCCCUAGUGAGCCUCUAGUUGACUAGUUCGUUGAUCAAAAUUGGUCAAGGUUUCCUCGCAAUAGGCAAGUGUUGUCAAUUGAGAACGGGAUCACAUCAUUAGGAGAAUCAUGUGAUGGACAAGACCCAAAUUAUGAACGUAGCGUAUUGAUCGUGUCGUUUUAUUGCUAUUGUUUUCUGCGUGUCAAGUAUUUGUUCCUAUGACCAUGAGAUCGUAUAACUCACUGGCACCGGAGGAAUACCUUGUGUGCAUCAAACAUCGCAACGUAAUUGGGUGACUAUAAAGGUGCUCUACAGGUAUCUCUGAAGGUGUCCGUUGAGUUAGUAUGGAUCAAGACUGGGAUUUGUCACUCCGUGUGAUGGAGAGGUAUCUCGGAGCCCACUCGGUAAUACAAUAUCAUACACAAGCCUUGCAAGCAAUGUGACUAAGUUUAAGUCACAUGAUCUUGUAUUACAGAACGAGUAAAGAGACUUGCCGGUAACGAGAUUCAAAUAGGUAUGCGGAUACCGACGAUCAAAUCUUGGGCAAGUAACAUAUCGAAGGACAAAGGGAAUGACAUACGGGAUUAUAUGAAUCCUUGACACUGAGGUUCAACCGAUAAGAUCUUCGGAAAAUAUGUAGGAUCCAAUAUGGGCAUCCAGGUCCCGCUAUUGGAUAUUGACCGAGGAGUGCCUCGGGUCAUGUCUACAUAGUUCUCGAACCCGCAGGGUCUGCACACUUAAGGUUCGAUGACGUUUAGUAUAGUUGAGUUAUAUAUGUGUGUUUACCGAAUGUUGUUCGAAGUCCCGGAUUUGAUCACGGACGUCAAGAGGGUUUCCAUAAUGGUCCCGAAACGAAGAUUGAUAUAUAGGAUGGAUUCAUUUGGUCACCGGAAAGUUUCGGGCAAUUCCGGCAGUGUACCAGGAGUGACGAAUGGGUUCCGGGAGUUCACCGGGAGGGGCCCACCCACCCAGGAGUGAGCCCAAGGCACUAGGGUGGCGCCACAAGUCCUUAGUGGGCUGGUGGAGUCAGCCCUAGGGGCCCAUGCCGCCACAUGACAAAAUACCAAAGGAAAAUAAAAGAAAAAGGGAAAGAGGGAGGUGGGAAGGAAGAGGAGAACUCCUCCUUCCCAAACCGAAUUGGAGGAGGAGGAGUCCUCCUCCCCUUGGCUGGCGCCCCUUGAGGGCUUAUCCUUCAAGGCUAGCCCUCCCCUCCCUCCUAUAUAUAGUGGUGUUUUAGGGCUGAUUUGAGACAACUUUGCCACGUGCAACUCAAACCUAUACGGAUUUGUGCGGAGCUCGGGCGGAGCCCUGGAGGAGUAGAUCAUCACCACCACCGGAGCGCCAUCACGCUGCCGGAGAACUCAUCUACUUCUCUGUCUUGCUUGCUGCAUCAAGAAGGCGGAGAUCAUCGUCGAGCUGUACGUGUGCUGAACGCGGAGGUGUCGUCCGUUCGUCACUAGAUCGAAACGGAUCGUGGGAGGAUCGCUCGACGGUUCAUGAGACGGAUCGAGGGGCGGUUCGUGGGACGGUUCGAGGGACGUGAAGAUGUUCCACUACAUCAACNNNNNNNNNNGUGUCUUGCUUGAUGGAUCAAGAAGGCUGAGAUCAUCGUCGAGCUGUACGUGUGCUGAACGCGGAGGUGCCGUCCGUUCGGCACUAGAUCGGAACAGAUCGCGGGACGGUUCAUGGGACGGAUCGAGGGGUGGUUCGUGGGACGGUUCGAGGGACGUGAAGAUGUUCCACUACAUCAACCGCGUUUCUUAACGCUUGCCGCUGAGCGAUCUACAAGGGUAUGUAGAUCUAAUCUCCACUCGUAGAUGGACAUCACCAUGAUAGGUCUUCGUGUGCGUAGUAAAAUUUUAGUUUACCAUGCAACGUUCCCCAACAUAACUCUCUGCUCACAGACAUCUCUCUUAACAGAGAGAGAGGAGGCAACCUCCACCUACAGGAGCUCAACGGCGUCGGAACGCGGCGGUAUUCGCCGGAACGGAACUGGGGCGGGGAAAGGAAGAAAGGGGUGGUGGGAGGAGCCCGAAUGGAGGGCUCACCGGCGUUGACAGGUAGGCCCGGUGUAGCCGGAGUUUUGUGGAAGGGGCAGAGGAGGCGGCGAACCGGUUGUGUAGGAUGUCGAGGAGGUCGGUGGUCGUGGUUCCGGCGAGGAGGAGGUCGAGGUGGUGGUGCGCGGCGCCGGGGCGUCGCGGUGGAGGGUUGCCGGAGGGCCGGCCGGUCGCUCCAGGAGGGCCGACCGAGGGCGCCGGCGCAUGAGAGGAGAGAGGGGUGACGAGGCGAGGCGCGCCCAGGGAGCCACGAGGGCGUGGGGAGGCGCGGGGAGAGGAGGGAGCAGGGGUUCGCGGGGUGGUGGCGCAGGGGCGAUGGGAUCCAGGGCGCUGGGGGCGCCGUGGGGUGCGGGAUGGGGAGGGCUCGGGGAGCCAGGGGGAGUGACGAAAGGAGUGGGAGCCCUCGCGAGGGUGGUAGGUGGCGACGGGGAGGGAACCGGUUCCCUCGUUGCUUCUGGCGGCGGCAGGAGGAGUGGGAGGAGGGGCUCGCUAGGGUUGCCUUGGGGGUUAAAUACCCCGAGUGGAUGGGCCGGUGGGGAAGGGGUUGGCUGGCUGGCCACUUUGGCCCAGUUGGGCGAGGGGCUCUUUUGUGUUUCUUUUUUUUUGUUGUUUCUUUUUUAAAAUUACUUUCUUUUAGUUAUUAUUACUUUUAUUUUAUUUCUUUAGUUUCUGUUUUAAAUAUAUAGGGUUUUAACUAAUUUUAAAAAUGCCCGAUUUACUUUUAUAAUUUAUUAGGGAAUUCUUAUAACUCCCCCGAUAUUUUUAUUUUAACAUUCGAAAACUUUUCCAGUUCGAUUUAUUUUUAAAAUUUGAAUUUGACUCGAUUUCGAUUAACACGAGAACAACGAUAAAAAUUACGAUGAUGUGGCAUCAUUAGCGUGGGAUCACUUUAGCUUAAUUACAUACAUUACUGUAGCAAAAGUUGAGGAUCUCACAGUAGCGACGAAAAUAUAGCGUCGUGUAUUAGCAUAUUUCUUGUAGUGUGUGUGGGUGCAAAAUCUCUCACUAUAAGUGGAAGCUGGGGUAGUUGGACCUGGUUCUCUGGUCCAUCUUCAAUAUUCAAAUCUUGCAAUCUUGGCGUCAAAGGCCCAUUAGCAAGUGAAGCAGUGUUACCACUGUUAGCAGAGAGCCCCAAAGAGAGAGUAGUGCUGCUAUUGACCAUAUCAGCUAGAAUAUGCAUAUUCUUUUCUAAUGGUUCCAUCAGAUCAUUCAAUUCCAGGAAUUCUCCUGGAUGUAUCUCUAAAUCAGCUUGUGGCAUGGCCCAGUGUCCCCAGCCAGGCAUGUUCAUGUCUUCUUCUUCAUUUACAACCUCUGCUUCUACUUGUAUUGGGUCCUGGUGAUCCUGUGCGAGCUGAAGAUUAAGAUCUGGAAUCUGCUGAGGUAGCACCUCAUCUGCAUGUAAACCUUCUUCUGCAUGGGCCCCCUUCAUGUUCAUGGUGCUCUAAAAGGGCCAAUAAAGUGGUUGUGCUGAUUCGGGUGAUAGUUUGCUGGGAGGGGAAUAGGAUGUGGGUUUCCAAAAGGAUGGAUUGGGUCUUCAACAUGUGGUUCCACUCCGAGGACUUGAUGUUGUACAAUAACCACAGGUACAGUGAGUGAAUUGAGAUUUGUUCCAUCUUCAAUAACAAUGCUACUGGGGAUAUCACUCAGCUCUUCAACUUUAACUUUAAUCAUCAGAUUGGCCUUAGUGCUCCUAACUCUGUCCCACAUUACAAAUUUGCUAAACUUGCUGACUGCAUCAUUAACCUCCUGAAUAUUACGACAAUCCAAUGGGAAACCAUAGAGCACUAGCCAAGCCUCUCUAUUUAGUUCUAGUAGUUCAUACCCUUGUUGUGCUUUCCAAAGAUGACAUGCACAUUAAUGAAAAGAUGAGGCCCCUCGGAGUCCACAUGAUCACGGUCGAAUGCACUAUUGAGCUUCAUAUAUGCUUGACCGAACGAGCGGGGAGUAAUUUUAAAAAACCCCAUUCUUCUGUCUGUCAGGAAGUCAGAGAUCACCUCGCGAAUGGUGUUGAACUGCACUUGAAGGUUAGGCAUUGAAACGAUGGUGGCAAUCGCCCAUUCCUCAUGCAUUUGGGGAACUGCUUGUGAGAGAACACGAACCCUAGCUGGUCGUCCCUCAACAUUAAUGGCAUGGUUCUAGUUUGAUACUCCCUUCAUCUUAAAAUAAGUGUUUUAAUCUUAAUACAAUUUUAGUAAAUAUUUAUUUUUUAGAAGGAGGGAGUACUACGAAACCGGAACGUCUUGCUGCACGAAGAGGAGUGCAGCUGCAGCUCCGGUGGGACUUUGGUGGCUCGGCGCUCACAUGGCCAGGCCAGUGAGAGCAGCAUGCUUUGACGUUUUGUAUCAAUGAAGUAAAUAUCAGCGUUGCAUGUGUGUUUUUGUUUUCUGUUUACCUAAAAAAGCUUGGCCACCGGCACUCCACGUGAGCCCAAAAGCACUCAGAGUGGCUCGGGGGACGAACGUUAUCCGAUUUUAACAGUUGAGGACUAGAUUUUUCUCAUUUUCGAGUUGGGAGACUAUUUCUGAAAUAUCGAUAAAGUUAGGACAAUUCAACAGGUCAAUCCAAACGGACGGCGAUUUUGUCCGUCUUUUGUCUAUUUGGGUCGGCGAGGCGGACAAGAACGUCCGGUUCCUCAAAUGGGUCGGCGUAAGCGUUCAAUGCUGGUCGGAUCCAUUUUUGUCGGCGUGCGGAAAAAUACAUAAAGUGCAUAAUUAAACAUUAAAAGACUGCCACGAAGGCUGGCAAGAGUACACGCGUCCGCGUUACAUUAGAUAAGCAUAAAAAAACUAAAACUACGAGGGCAGCCCUAGACAUCGUCGUCGUUGUCAUCGGGGCCGUUGAGGUCGACCAGCGUAGGCGCAGGGCCGGCCCAGGGGAACGCCGUGUUCCAGAGCGCAGCUGCCUGCGCCUCCGUCCUGUCCCGCCGACGCGGGCUGUGCUGGUGGCGGUAGCAGCGCAGCAGCACGGGUGCACUCCUCCUCCUCCGCCUCGUUCUCCACCUCCAUGAGCCGAAGGCCUUCGGCGCGCUCCGCCAACAGGUGCUGCGCCCUCCAGUGCUCGAGGUAGGCUUGCUUCUACUGCGGUGUCGCGCCCAGCCAGAUGGGUGGCGCCGUGACGAACUCGUGGACGACGUCGGUCCAUUGGUAGACCUCCCACGGCUCCGUGGGCUUGGGCUUCGACGGAGGUGGCACGACGCAGUCGCCGACGGCCGACAGCACGAUGGCCUCCGCGAGCUGCUGCUGGUACACCGCCUCCUCGUCGGCCCUGCGCCGCGCUUCCUCCUCGCUGUCCCGGAGGACAGAUGCGAGCGUCGCCUGGUAGGCGGCCUCAACCUCCUCGUCCUCGUCGCUGACGACAGGCGGGGGCGGCGGAGGGCCUCCUGGCUGCACUUCGCGCACGCCACGACGGCGCUGCUUCUCGUAGUCCACCGCGAACCACACCUCCCAGUUAGGGGAGUCGGCCGCGUACAUAGGGUCCCGCCGCUGCUCCGUCGUGAGCAGACGCCGACGACGGCUCACCUCCUCCGCAUGCCAGUCGUGCGGCAGCGUGACAUCGGGGUAAGGGAGCGGCAUGCGGUGCUCCCAUUGCCACCGCGCUUGGUGCACUGGGACGCUCACGCGCUGGCGAGGCCGGUGGGAAGACGCCGGCGGGGAGAUGGCGCGGGGCUAGAGCGGGGCCUUGCCCUUGUUUGAGAAACCGCCAGCCAUGGUGUGCUAGGGUUUUGGUCGCCGAGGAGGUGGCUGGAUGUGGAUGGGCGUGGUUCUGAAAGCAGAUGGUGGAACCCAUCGCACGCUCGGAUUAAAAAAGGCCGACCGCGAUCGCUGACGCGUGGGCCUGAGGAUGACGACUGUCAUAAAUAAUGUUGGCCGCGGUGGUUGGAAGGGAACAACGAGCGCGCGUCCGCGUCCGCGUCGAUGCAUUUCAGUCCCAAAUUUGGAUCGGAAAUGGAUCGGCGCGGACGCAUUUUGGCAAUGGGUCGACGCAUUGGGUCAUCAUUUUGUUCGCGCCGACCCAAACAGACGAUGACAGACGAAAUGGGUCGCUCCAUUAAAGUUGCUCUUAAGUUAUGAAAAAAAUACUUUUCCUUUAAAACUAUGAUUUUGUACAAUAAUUUACAACGGAAAACAUUUUCUAAAGGAAACUGUUGUGUUUUAGGUUACCUCAAUUCACAUAUGCGUGGUCCAGAUUUGACUGGUGCCUUUAUCUCCUUGUUUUGUUUCAUCCUUGUAUCAUGUCGCUUUUUUUGUCUUGUUUGUUGUGUGUGAGAUGUUGUGUUGUACUGUUGUACCGUUUCAUUGUAACCCUUUUUAUUAAUUUAAAGCCGGACAAUGGCCUUUUUUUAAAUGAAACGCCAUGGUUAUCAAUUUUGCUUCAGAAUUUUUCAUUCUUUGUUUCUUGCGUGUGUUUCAGUACGCUAACGAAACCCAACCCACGAAUCGGAAAGUUUUUCGCUCGCGCACAUGGACACCUCCUUUUGGCAUUUGGAUGAUUCCGUCUUGGAAUGGUGGGACAAGCGGACGGACAUGACGAAUCCCAACCGAUGUGUUUUUGCCUUUCUGACAAUGCUUGUCUUUUGGACUGUAUGAAACGAGUGUAAUGCUCGGAUCUUUCGACACAAGAGCGCACCUCCGCCGGUCCUGUUGAAAAAUAUCAUUGAUGCCGCCAAACUGUGGGUUACCGCGGGGCCGGUCCUGUUGAAAAAUAUCAUUGAUGUCGCCAAACUGUGGGUUACCGCGGGUGCUAAGGAGUUAGGGUAUCUUGUGGUGUGUGAGUAAUUGUCAUGUCGCAGCGUCGCUUCCGUUGUAACACUCUUAAACUCUCCUCUCUUAUUUAAUAUAUGAGGUAAAUCUUUUACCUCCGUUUUAGAAGAAAAAAAAGUACGCUAACGAAGCCUGGGCAACAAAACGAAACCGUCUGCUAAUUUAUUUGGAGCACUAUAUUGUGGGGGUACAAAAUCAUGACACAGAAAUCCCAAACUAGUGGAGAUUUCGUUCAUUUGGAACACAAAAGUGGCCACGGCGCAUUGCACGAAUCCCAAACGCAUGCAUCUUCUUGCGGCUCAAAACAUCGGUAUAGCGCACACAUGUCUGAUGCUCCAUCAUACUGCUAUAUAGUAGUAGCUAGGUACACACAUAGUUGAACAUCCAUGCACAUCAAUAAUUAAGAAAAUAAUUACUAUUCAUUAAUUGCCUGAACAGGUAGGUCAGACACAUCACACAUACACAUCGGCUAAAGUACAGCAAGGAGAUGACUGUUCAGUCACUCAUACGGACGCGUGCAUGCAUGCCGCGUAAAUAUAUAUGCGCACACACACAGUGUGUGUGCAAGGUACAGACAUAGGCAUACUCUUUUAUUUUAUUUUUUAUUGCUCAAUAUCGUACGUAUGAGCACUCCAUCAACGUAGAUAUUAAGCUCCACACAAGCGCGUCCAUGCAUGCACGUAGGAAGGAGUAUCUGAUCCCUGCUAGUGGACCCUGCACAGAAACGAGGUAUAUAAUUGGUCAGAGAAAAACACAAUAUAUGUAACAUGCUAGUCGUCCGUUUUUCACUCUUUUGUUACUAUAUUUACUUCCUAGCUCUUAAACACAGAAGAUGAGAUGCCCAUGCAUGCAUGCAUGCAUGCAUUUGGAUGAGUAGAAGAAAGAAAAGAAGAUAUAUACUUGUUGCAGUCGGUGGACAUGCUGAUGGGGAAGGGCACGCUGACGCCGCACUUGCCGGGCACGCCGGAGACCUUGCCCAUGUUGAUGGCCUUGAUGCUGGUAGCGAGGCUCUUGAGGCACCUGCACGCCGUCUGCCGGUCCGGGCUGCUGCGGGCCAGGCCGUUCAGCCCCUGCACGCCGGAGCAGCACUCCUUGCUGAUCGCAGAAGCCCUCCCCGUGACGUACGCCACGCACGGCGCGAGCUUGGAGUCCACCUGCCCGCACGACAGCGCCGCCGAGGCCUCCCUGCCGGCCAUCAUCAGCACCACCGCCGCCAGGACAACGGCGGCCGCCACAGCCUUGCUGUUGAGACGAGCCAUCGGUUAAGCUAUCUGGCUAGCAGGUGAUCAGAUGAGUGGGUGUGGUGGUGUGGAGGAAAAGGGUGUGGUUUGGAGGGUAUAAAUAGGGGGUAGAGGUGAACAUGCAGGGCAUUUGAUGCCCGUCGCUGCCAGGUCGUUGGCGGGUGGAAUUAAUUCACAACAAUGCCGAUCCACCAUGCAAGUGCAUGUACUCGCUAGAGAGUACGCUGGCUCUCUUUGCAAUUGGCAUGUGUCUCUUUGCUUUUAUUUUGUUUUUUUACACGUUUUUUUUAUUUGCGGGAAGAAAAAUCUUCACGCCGUAGUAUGGGUACAUCCACAUCCAUGAUGCAGAGGGUCAAGUUAGUAAAGCUAUAUCUCCACAGGCUAAUGAGGUGGCGCACGAGAUUACAGAGUUUAGUUUCCUUAUUAAUAAAACAAAUGGUAUUUUGUGCUCCGCCUGGUGUGGCAUUUGCUGUAAUGAAUGAUUAUAAGAAAAUUUUAAUUAAUUGAUACAUUGGAGUGUUGUUAAAAAAAACUAAGAUAAGAGUGGGGAACAGAAAUUUUACUCUACAGGACAAAGUAGUGAUUGUAGUGGCGGAGGCCCCCGGUGAGCAAGGUGUGGCGGCUGCCGCACCUUAAUUUGGUCCAAGUUUUUAAAUACAUGUAUGCAUAUUAUCAUUUGCUAGCUUGCUGGCUCUCGCUAGAUGAAAAAGAAUUGCUGAAAAAAGAAAAAGGACACGCAGCCACCCUAAUUGGGCCUAUGGCAAGGCCAAACGACCCAUGCAGCCCCGCUAUUUGGGCCUAAUCCAUCUCACGAACAAGCCAGGCAGCUCCCUCCAGCGCGCAUGAAGCAAUUCCCCAACCCCAGCAAAGCACGCGCGCCACAAAUUCUAGAUAGCGCGACGGCGGCGAAGCGAAUUGCUGUGGGCGGCGAGCAAGCGGACGCAGUGGAGGACGACGGUGGGCGGAGGACAAACAGCGCAGCUGGUUGCGGCCGAAGUCGGGACUGGGGCACGGACAGGGCACCACUUGCAGCAAACGUCGAGUGACUGCUGUGACCAAGCAAACGACGCGGCGGCGGCCAGCUCCGCCUCCCUUACGAGUCCGGCCAUCCGCGCCUUCGCCUCUCUCUCCACAUAGUCCUCUUCCUCUCUAUUCACUCGAUUGAUCAGAGGACGGGAUUGGAUUGAACGACCGGAUAGUCCUCCGAUGCGCUGGCUGGUGAGCACAUGUUUGCUAAUUGCACAAUAUUUUUAAUUAUUUAUAUAUAUUCGUCGCAUCGUUAUAUAUUGUAUCUAGAAAUUUUCAUGUCCGUAUUUGUGUCUCUACAGGUGCUUCGUAGGUUACACACAUGUUAUUCAUCAAGAUCAAUUGAAUUCGAAAGAAUUGCAUGCUAUUAUGUUUAAGAGUCCGCCGUAUCUUAAUUUUUUUCCCUCUGGAUUGUACGAAAGCAGAAGAGACGAGAACCUCCGGCAGAUCAAAGGAAAGGCAAACCAUGAAUUUGCGCUCAGGGCAGCAAUAAAACAGGCCAGUCGACAUCCAAACUGGUCCCCGGAAUGUCUAGGACGGCAACUGAACUUUCUACAAUUCCGUAACAGAGCGGCACCUCCACAGUAUGAAAAGAAGUAUUAAUAGCUUGAUAGAUCCGUAACCUAACUGUUGAUGCCUGGUUUUAUUGGCCUUGUUACUAGUUCCAUGAAGGAGUAGUUGCCAUCUAGGUAGCUUGCGUCUCACAACAAUACUCAGCUCUGAAACGUUGCAAUAUUGCUCUCGAUUUAUGCACUAGCAGGUGGUCAAGGGAAAGUGUUCUUCUACGUCCGACCUCAAAUGAGCUCGGAUGAACAGUAAAUUCAUAAAAUAUUUUGAAAAUGCUUCAAAAAUCUUAAUUUUUUACAGCAAACUUUGACUAAUGUUUUAGUAGCUUGUAAAUUUCAGUACAAAAUUAUACUUUUUGAAGUCAUGGCAAAAAAAAAAUUAUUAGUGCUUCAAAAUGCUUUUAAAAGUAGCAUUUUUAGAGUUUUGAUUUUGUUAGAGUUGUGUCGAAUAUUAUUGUACAAGGUAUGUUACAGUUGGACUUGAAGUCGCACGGUGUGUAGACAAGGUAAGAGUCGUGUCCUAUUAGGACACCUUACCCUUAUGUCUUUUAUAUAAUGAGAGGGUAGACACACGAUGUAACCUAUGCCAACAUAAUAGCACAGGUACGCGGGGGAGCCGACGACGUGUGCCGGUGUCCGGGCGGCCGGGGUGCGGUAUUGUGACAGUGUCACGGGGAGGAGCGCCCGUAGUCAGGCCCCGGGGAUGUAGCCAUAUCGAUGAACCUCGUUAACAAAUCUCGGUGUCGUGCUCGUGUGAUUGCUUGGUUCUCAGUAGAUCGACGGAUUGCCUCGGAUUAUUCUAACAAGUGGUAUCAUGAGCAAGGUUCGAGGAGGCUACAGAUCGUUGAUCUAGAGGAAAAAAAGUUCGGCUUGGGUCGGUUGUUCGCAGGAAAGAUGUCGCCGACGGAG
rnacentral:lncRNA from 1 species